rnacentral:rRNA from 1 species
UCCGUGCCGGAGCUAACGCAAUAAGCAAUCCACCUGGGGAGUACGGCCGCAAGGUUGAAACUCAAAGGAAUUGACGGGGGCCCGCACAAGCAGUGGAUUAUGUGGUUUAAUUCGAAGCAACGCGAAGAACCUUACCAGGUCUUGACAUCCCUUGACAGGUGUGGAAACACAUUUUUCCAGCAAUGGACAAGGAGACAGGUGGUGCAUGGUUGUCGUCAGCUCGUGUCGUGAGAUGUUCGGUUAAGUCCGGCAACGAGCGCAACCCUUAUGAUAUGUUGCCAAUAUUAAGUUAGGAACUCAUAUCAGACUGCCGUGGACAACACGGAGGAAGGCGGGGAUGACGUCAAAUCAUCAUGCCCCUUACGUCUUGGGCAACACACGUGCUACAAUGGGCGCAACAAAGAGCGGCAAAGCAGCAAUGCCGAGCGAAUCUCAAAAAAGCGUUCUCAGUUCAGAUUGUGGGCUGCAACCCGCCCGCAUGAAGUAGGAGUUGCUAGUAAUCCCGAAUCAGAAUGUCGGGGUGAAUGCGUUCCCGGGUCUUGUACACACCGCCCGUCACGCCAUGGGAGUUGGGAGUACCCGAAGCCGGUGAGCUAACCAGCAAUGGAGGCAGCCGUCUAAGGUAAGACCGAUGACUGGGGUGAAGUCGUAACAAGGUAGCCGUA